GAGCGGAAAGAAUAUGUAACCGGCCUUGAUCGGCCUUUUCUAUUGGGCGGCUUUCGUGCAGGCACCGGCAAGUGCGCAGUCAUACCUGCCGACCAAAGUCGAGGUGGGAGGGGACGCGUUCCUAGAACACCGGAGGGCAGGUCACCGGCUUACUCAACAUUUCCCCUGAUUAGUCACCCGUCCUAGGAAAACGCAGGGAGAUUUGUCUCUGGGACAUUCCUAAAACGCUUGUUCAAAACCAUUAGUGACUUAAGGAUAUUAACCAAAACAAAAAAAAUUCUGUCUCCCUCUUGGUGUAAGACUCUUCAGUUGGACUCUCGUAUCUCACCGAGGGGCGAGAACUCUAGGAGUCCUAGGUUAUUGGAAGGAGACUAGAAAAUAGUGCAGUGAAGUCGAUUUUGAUACCGGAAUUGUCAGGUCUAGUCUCCCAGCCAGAAACGGAUCCCAGGCUGCAGGGCAGCGCUGAGUCCCAGCCACUAGACCCCGCAGGGUUGGUGUCUCACGAAGCCGCAGCAGGAACUUCGCAGACGCUCAGGCAAGCAAGCGAGAAGAGGCAGCUCAAAGGCUGUUUGUUUUUUCACACCCAGCACAGUACUGAGAACCUAAGACCUGGGAGAACCAAGACCUGACCUAAAACAUCUUCAUAAGCAACAGACAGGCCAUGAACACAUGAUCACACCACAGUGAUAACUAUAAGCAACCGUGAUUAACUCGUGACUGCUGAGCUGCUUCUUUCCUAUCUGCUCCUGUGCCACUUCCAGAAACAUUCACCUUCACCUGUGACCCAGGAUUCAGUGUUCCCUAACAAACUGAAGGUUUCCUAGGACUUGGGAUUUUUCAUUGCUAACACUUGGAAUGUCCCAAGCAAACCAGGGUGGUUGCUUAAAGCCAUUG